CAGCACCAGUCUUCUCGUAACUGUACUGCAGGAAGCACGCCUGACGAGCGAUUUCUAAACAGGAGUGUUGCACGAUGAACGAUAACUUCCGAUUGUGACGAUACCUAAAAAUAAACCCC